AAAGGGCCCAUUUUACCACACUGUGAGAAAGACUCUGCUAGCUUAUUACACAUAGAUAAAGUGAGUGUAUAGGUUUAACCCUUUUAGUCUCGUUAAUGCUCAGGAGAAAGGAAAGGGUAUUCCUACUCAACUGCAGGAAGAAAGGCAUCCAUGGCUUUGGCCACAAUUCUGGUUCUUAAUGACUGAAUUGAAGGUAUUUGGGCACACAGAAGAUAGGAAGCUGAACUCCUCUAUGCUGAAAUGCAGAAAGAAAAAGCAAGAAAUGUUCUUUACUUUCAAAUGACACUGCAUCUUCUCCAACCUCUUUAGUGUCAGAUUAUUGAAGAGUGCAUUGAAUGUUCAAGUGAAUUAAAUAUAAAACAUGCGUGUAACACAAUACCUAACAGAAAGAUAUCUGCCCCAGGAAACCAGAAAUUCAGUGAACUCUUUUAAGAGGAUGGAAUAAAAACCGCAACUCACAACUUUUCAAGAGGCCACCAGUCAUUAGACACUGGCAUCCGUUAGAACUGCUGCAAGCUUAAAUCAAACAGUCACCUGGAAGGAACAGGUCUCUGGAGACUCCCCUCUAGCUCUGAGAUCUGUAUUUCACAAUUAUUUGAGGCACUGUUAAAAGCAGAGAAUAAAAUAGUUGAAAAUUCACUUGCUGUUUUCAAUGUAUUAUUUAUGCAAGAGAAUGUGUAAUUUGGGAAAAAAGUAAAUCUGAAAACUGAAUAAUUUAAUAUACAUGUCUUUGUUAAAGUUUUAAAAUAUUAUUUUCCAUGGUAACCAUUAUUAAAUAGAGAACUAUGGAAUGGACUGACAGGGCUGGAUGGAUGUAGAGUGGAAACAUGUACAAAU
rnacentral:lncRNA from 1 species